UGGGGAAUCUUCCGCAAUGGACGAAAGUCUGACGGAGCAACGCCGCGUGAGUGAUGACGGUCUUCGGAUUGUAAAGCUCUGUUAAUCGGGACGAAUGGUUUGUGUGCAAAUAGUGCAUAGACAUGACGGUACCGGAAUAGAAAGCCACGGCUAACUACGUGCCAGCAGCCGCGGUAAUACGUAGGUGGCAAGCGUUGUCCGGAAUUAUUGGGCGUAAAGCGCGCGCAGGCGGACUAGCCAGUCAGUCUUAAAAGUUCGGGGCUUAACCCCGUGAUGGGAUUGAAACUACUAGUCUAGAGUAUCGGAGAGGAAAGGGGAAUUCCUAGUGUAGCGGUGAAAUGCGUAGAUAUUAGGAAGAACACCAGUGGCGAAGGCGACUUUCUGGACGAACACUGACGCUGAGGCGCGAAAGCCAGGGGAGCGAACGGG
rnacentral:rRNA from 1 species